CUGCUGCCUCCCGUAGGAGUUUGGGCCGUGCCUCAGUCCCAAUGUGGCCGUUCACCCUCUCAGGCCGGCUACUGAUCGUCGCCUUGGUGGGCUGUUACCCCGCCAACAAGCUAAUCAGACGCGGAUCCAUCGUAUACCACCGGAGUUUUUCACACCGUCUCAUGCGAGACUGUGCGCUUAUGCGGUAUUAGCACCUAUUUCUAAGUGUUAUCCCCCAGUAUACGGCAGGUUAUCCACGCGUUACUCACCCGUCCG
rnacentral:rRNA from 1 species